CUGUCUCUUAAAUAAAAAUAGAAUUUAAUUUUUUAAUUAAAAAGUUAAAAUAAUCUAAAAAGACGAGAAGACCCUAUAGAGUUUUAUAAAUAAAUUGAUUAAGAUUAUUAAAUAAAAUUAAAAUUAAUUUAUUUAUUAUAUUGGGGUGAUAGAAAAAUAUAUUUAACUUUUUUUAUAUAAAAAACAUUUAUAAGUGAUUAAAUGAUCCAAUAUUAUUGAUUAUAAGAAAAAAUUACCUUAGGGAUAACAGCGUAAUUUUUUUUUUUAGUUCACAUAAGAAAAAGAGUUUGCGACCUCGAUGUUGGAUUAA
rnacentral:rRNA from 1 species